rnacentral:lncRNA from 10 species
GCCUGGUUCAGACUGGGCUUGGGAAGUGAGUCAGGGCCUGACUAUAUGUGAUAAAGAGAAGCUCCUUGCUUUUAAAGGACAGUAAGGGGGUCGUCUUACACUUAGCAGCCCGGACAGAAUUGAUUUUUUUACAGACCCCUCUGUGGGCGAGUGCCUUUUAUGAAAAAGGCAAAAAUAUUUAAUAAGAAUGAAACCCCCUGAAUGGUCCCGGGUCCUAUCAGAAGCGGGAAGUCCCCUUUUUAAAUGGUCGCAGGCAUCUCCUUUGAUCACACGAUAUCACUGAACAUGCAGUCCUCACACCCCCAACUUCAUUCUCAUCUCAUUUUUCUCCACGGUGCAUGCCAGCCUCUGACACGUGGUGGCCCUCUCUCGAGGGGGUGCUGGUGCCUGACUCCUUUGGACACCCUGUGAAGGCAGGGCCAGACAGGUCGCAAGGGAAAACCAUCGGUCAAGGUGAGUGUUGCAGGCGCCCUGGAGGAAGGCACCGUGUCACCUGCUGGCCCAAGGGCUUCCAGAAUUCCAUGAAUUACAACAGGGAAUGCAUCUGCCAAGCAUCCUAGACCCACGUUUCUGGCCGGCACAGCCUCGCCCUCUGUGGAAAUCAGCAUGAGAGGUGCCACACAGAGGCUGCCUGGAGAGUGGGCUGAACAGGGGGAAGGAGUAAUCCCCCAUGGCCGUCUCCACCCUCACAUCUCCAUCCCUGCCACGUGGGGCCUGGGGUCUGGGCUGCUCUCUGGAUAGCCAGGGCUGUGCUAGGCGCUGCUCAGGCUGGGCUCUCUGAUGGCCCCUAAGAUGUCAGCAAGACCUACCCAUGACACCGCCCAAGCCCAGGGCCUGAGGACGGGAGCCUUGUCCUUCCAGAGCACCGGCUCUGGGGCCUGUGCAGGUGGUGCCCAUCUCUGAGUCUCAGGGUUCUCAUCUGUGCAGUGGGGACAUCAGUGGUGUCUGCAGGACAGGCUGUAGGAGGGUGAAGUUGAAAGCAGGUCUGAGCUGCCAGAGGCCCUGGGUCUGGCCCGCCACACACCUGGGGAGUCAGGGACUGCCUGUCCCCCCAGCAGCUGCCCUCCAUGCCCAUGUGCUGGCCAGAGAACCCUGGUCAGGGGCUGAGACAGUGGUGUGCUGGUGGUCACUAAUACUGACCGUCAUUAAACGUUUAGGAAUGCUGACAGCCAUUGUUACAAAUUAAAUUCUACAAACUGAUGAUUAAAUAAAUUGUAUUAAAAACAAAGGUAGUGAAUAUUCCACUCCCUGUCCUUCCUGGUUGCCUUUCUGCAUCGUCUGUGCUCUUACAGCGACGUCUGCUGCUGGGUCUGUGGUGAAAAUGCUGUAUGAGGCUGUGCUACUGCUCUGCCUGCAGUGACGUCUGGGGACAGCUGCAAAUGGGCACAUGUGGAAGCCAGAGGACUGACUGUCAACCUGUCACCGGAGUGGGCCUGGAUUCCACGGCCAGGGGAGGGGCCGCCAGCCUGGGAUGCAUACAGUCCUCACAGCUCUGGGAGCUGGCUUUCAGGGACUCCUCCUGCAGGGUUCUGUGGGUGCUGCUCUAUGCUCUCUCUCCUUCUGCUGAGGCAUAGGGCUUCUCUACUCGCCCUGGGCCAGAGGAGCCAGGCAGCUGGGCAGCGGAAGGCUCGGGUGCCCUGGACAGGCGUCUGCCUAGCACUGGCUGGCCCGGCCCAGCCAGACGCCUGCUGGCUCAUCCGCACAGCCACCCUGUGGGUGAGGGCUUGGUCUGUUCGAGGGAUGGGGGACCGAGGUUCUGGGAGGGGCUUGCCAAGUCCUGGCAGUCAGCAAAUGGCAGGCAAGGACCUGAGCCCCUCCACUGGAUGUGAGGUCAGUGCUGCCCCAAGCACCUGGGGCUGCCUUCAGUGACAGGAGCAGCGUGGUGAUGUGGGGAGAGGUUCAGCUGGAGGCAGCCACACCACGCAGGACGCUAGGGCAUGGUCCAGGAGCCCUGCACUGGCUGACAUGCACUCCUGAAGUUCUGCCUUUAGAGACUGAUCCCUCGCAACACCCAUCUGCCCUCUCCUUGAGUCCUCCUCCCACGCGCGCGUCCCCAAGAAGAUAAGCAUCAGGGCACCAACGUGCUACUCAAGGUCCUGGGGGCAGCAGCAUCAAGGGAAAGGAGACCAGCAGGCAGAGCAUGGCUGUGGGUGACCUGAAACAGCCACCACUCUCUCCCCCUGGAACCCCGAGGGCCAAGGGAGCAGGAGGGCCUGGCCCUGAGCAGCCUCCCUUCUGCAGAGAAAGGCAGGCAUGGGUGGGCAACACUGGGGCCAGACAGAUGGGGGUGGGCUGGUCUUGGGGGCUCAACUUGGAGGGCAGGGCACUGCCUGACAACGUGGGCAUCAUGCAGAGGGCCGUGCGAGGGCAGCUCGUGGAAAGCGCCCAGAGUGGAGCGCUGGCCCUGGAGAGCAAGGGAUGCUCACGCACGCUGCAACCCGGAUGAACCUCAAGGACAUCGUGCUGAGUGAAAUAAGCCAGACACAAAAGGCAUGGCCUGCAUGAUUCCACUCACAUGAGGCACCUGGAGUAGUCAAAUGCACAGCCGGGAAGUAGAAUGGCAGUUGCCAGGGGUUGCAGGGAGGGGAGUUAGUGUUUAAUGGGCACAGGGUUUUAGUUUUGCAAGAUGAAGGGUUUUGUGGAUGGGUGGUGGUGAUGGUUGCUCAACAGUGCUAAUGUGCUUAAUGCCUCUGAACGGUGCACUUAAAAAUGGUUAAUGGCUGGGCGAGGUGGCUCACGCCUAUAAUCACGCUUUUACCAGGCCCAGGUGGGAGGCUGUCUUGAGGCCAGGAGUUUGAGACCAGCCUGGGCAACAUAGUGAGACCUCAUCUCUACAAAAAAAAAUUUAAGAAUUAGCUGGGCGUGGUGGCACACUGGUAGUCCCAGCUACUCAGGAGGCUGAGGUGGCAUGGGAGUGGGAGGGGUGGUGGGGUGCUGGGGGGUGGGGAGGUAGUGCAGUGCAGCAGAGCAGGGUGUGGGAGGGUAGGGGGAUGGAGGUGUGUGUGUGUGUGGAGGGGGGAGAAUCGCUUGAGCCCAGGAAUUCAAGCUUGCAGUGAGCUGUGAUCCAGCCACUUGAAUUCUUUUUAUUUUUUUUAUUAUUUUUAAAUUAUUUUUUAAGACAGAGUUUCGCUCUUGUUCCCCAGGCUGGAGUACAAUGGCACGAUCUCAGCUCACUGCAACCUCUGCCUCCUGGGUUCAAGCGAUUCUCCCGCCUCAGCCUCCCGAAUAGCUGGGAUUACAGGCAUGCGCCACCACGCCUGGCUAAUUUUGUAUUUUUUAGUAGAGACGCUGUUUCUCCAUGUUGGUCAGGCUGGUCUUGAACUCCCGACCUCAGGUGAUCCGCCUGCCUCAACCUCCCAAAGUGCUGGGAUUACAGGCGUGAACCACCGCGCCCAGCCCAGACUCUUGAAUUCUUAAAGCACAGCUUGCCUUAGGGGCUUCAUAAUGGCCCUAGGGCCCCUGGGGCAUCACCCACAGGGUGUGAGGACCCUCCCCUCACCUCCCUCUCUCCCUGCCUCACUUCCUUCUUUCCUCCCUCCCUUCCCUUCUCAACUGAGCCCCCUACUCAGUGCCAAGCCCUGGGCGCCCUGCCUGGAGGAGUGGGCAGAAUGAUGGGAAGGCAGGCGAGUGUGCUGCAACAGAGGCGAGCCAUGGGCUGUGAGGCAUUGCAGGCAGACAGCAGAGGCAGGAAGCAGGCCUUCCUUCUGGGAAGCAGGAGGAGCCCGGGGAGAGUUGCUAGCUGUGGCCUUCUCAGCCCAGGCCCUCUAGCAACUUGGGGUUUGAGGGUCAAACUUCUUUCUUUAGGUAGGUGAGGAUAGAUGUGGAGGCCUCAGAACCCUGAGUUCAAGUCUGAUCUCAGCUUCUUGCCUACUGCGGUAGGGCAGUCGCUUCUCAGUGACUCAACUUUCCCAGCCACAAGAUGGGUCCAGGAAGAGCCGCUUGGGGAGCAGCGGGGCCGGGAGGAUGGGGUGAAUGACUGCCUGGCUGUGGGUAUCUGCAGCUCCUGCUGGCAAUCCUUCUCACCCGCUCGGUCUCCAGCCAGGGGACAGGGACCUGGGGUCCACACCUCAGCCUGAGGUCCAAGGCCAUCCUCGGAGGAGGCCCCACAUUCGUCCCCCAGGUUGGUGCCCACGCCUGCCCUGGCAUGAAGCCACCCUUUCUCAGGAAGUCCAAGUUACUGAAACAGAUAAAUCAAUCUGUCAAGAAGCCUUGGAGAAAGAAUCUCUCAACUCGCUCAGCCAAGAAGCUCAAAAGGCGAAUUGUUCCCAGAGAUGAAGAAGGAAACAACAGACACCUUCUUCCCAGGCUCUGCCUGCGGCUCUCGAGGCCCUGCCCUCCUCCCCCUGCCCCCAGAGAGCACCUGUAGGCUCAGGGCCAGCCCAGGGACAGGCAUGGCAGCCCCUCGCUGGCUGCUGGGGUGGCGCCCAAUUCCAGAGCCCUGUCUGGGGAAGGAGAGGGCCGAGAGCCACUGUUUGGCUCCUGUCCCAGACCUGACUGGGAGACCUUCUGAAAAACUCAGCCUCCUGAUCAACAGAGGGCAGAAGACCUGAGCCACUGGCCUCCCCAUGGAAGAGGCACUCAGAGCGGUAUGAGGAGUAGUGCUCACCCUGGACAAACUCCCGGAGUCAGUGUGACCGUCGGAGCUGGAGGCUGGGGUGAUGGGGGCCAGGGAAACCAAGCAAUGGCCCCGAGGUAGUGAGGAGUCUCUGGAGGCCAGAUACCCUCAAGAUGGAAAAGGAACAUCCUUGGAGGAUUGGGGUGGCUUCUUCCUGGAGGGAGGAGGGACACAUGCCGGGAUGACAGCCAGCUCUGCCGCUGACCAGCUGUGUGACCUUGUGAAAGUCACUUGAUCUCUCGGCGCAUCAAUUUCCUCAUUGUUGCCUGGGCCUCUUGUGAGAUCUUCCUCAUGGCUUGCAGUGAGGAUUGAAUGAGUCGAUCUGUGCCCCGUGGCCCGGGACAUGGUGAGCAUGUGGUAAUGGCAGCCGUUUUAUCCUGUAGUGUAAUAACGGUGUGCAGCUAGACGUCACUCUGGGCACCUUUUCUCACAGAACUGUCACUGCCGUGCUGCAGGAUGCGGAUGGUUGUCUUCACUCUCCAGAUGAGGAAACUGAGGCUCAAGGAAGGGCGGAGCUGCCUGAGGCUUGACAACUCUGCAGUCUGCAGCUGUGAGAGGGGGCUCUUUCUAGCCACACAGCUUUCCCUGGUUCUCGUGCGCUCUGUGAGCAGGAGGACGGGAAGGGCCGCAGCCGCUGAGGGAGCAGGAGGGGUUCGAUGCAAGCCCAGCUCCCAGCACGGGAAAGCCAGGUCAAGAAACACACGGCCUCUGCUGUGGGGCUGAUCACAGCUUUGUCAAAGAGGAGAUGUGGGAGGGGGGAGGUGAAGGGAGCAGGAAGAAAUGAAUGUCAGAAACAUAAAUAGCCCUGGAACUGAUGGACAGUCUGAGAUCUCUGCGCAGACCUGGGCGCCUGCAGGCUGCCACUCAAACCUGAGCAGAAGGGUGAACCCGCCCUCACCCCACUCCCGGUUCCCUACACGCCCCAGGAAAGGGCUGUUGUGAGCGGAAGGCAUUCGUCGAAAACUGGGAAGGUUGCCCAAGAAAGGCAGAGCGGGAAGCCCUCCGUGGGCAGCAGAACCGGGUGAGUCAGCCCGUCGGAGGGUCCCCCAUGUGGCAGGAAGGGGAGGCACAGGGACUGGGCUCGGCCACCUGGAAACACAGGCGGCAACAGCUGCUCAUGCAUGAAAGGUGACAGCUAAGUGUCAUCAGCCUGGGAGUGCCAGGAUAACGUCACCAGGGCGAGGUGGGCCGCGGGGGUGCAACAGAGGCCCCCUAACUUCCCAGGGGAAAAAGCUCACCACUGUCAGGGACAUGAAAGGACUGUCAAAGAGCCAUGAAACCAGCUACGGGGAUUGGGAAACUUCAGACUCACUUCUGUUUGUUUUGUGACAACAUGGAAGCCACAGAUGUUCUCUCAAGAUUAUGAGUUUCAGCUCUACGUA